rnacentral:tRNA from 1 species
GAGAGCGUAGCUCAGCAGGUAGAGCACCGCCCUUUUAAGGCGAUGGUCCCGGGUUCGAAUCCCGGCGCUCUCA